rnacentral:rRNA from 1 species
ACUACAGGUAUUCCCCUAGUAACUGCGAGUGAAGCGGGAAAAGCUCAAAUUUAAAAUCUGGCGGUUCUUGUAGCCGUCCGAGUUGUAAUUUAGAGAAGUGUUAUCCGCGCUGGACCGUGUACAAGUCUCCUGGAAUGGAGCGUCAUAGAGGGUGAGAAUCCCGUCUUUGACACGGACUGCCAGGGCAUUGUGAUGCGCUCUCAAAGAGUCGAGUUGUUUGGGAAUGCAGCUCAAAAUGGGUGGUAAAUUCCAUCUAAAGCUAAAUAUUGAGGAGAGACCGAUAGCGAACAAGUACCGUGAGGGAAAGAUGAAAAGAACUUUGGAAAGAGAGUUAAACAGUACGUGAAAUUGCUGAAAGGGAAACGCUUGAAGUCAGUCGCGUCGUUCAGGACUCAGCCUUGCUCUGCUUGGUGUACUUCCUGUUCGACGGGUCAGCAUCAAUUUUGGUCGGUGGAUAAAGGCUUAGAGAAUGUGGCAUCUUCGGGUGUGUUAUAGCUCUGGGUCGCAUACAUCGGCUGGGAUUGAGGAACUCAGCACGCCGCAAGGCCGGGGACUUGUCCCACGUACGUGCUUAGGAUGCUGGCAUAAUGGCUUUAAUCGACCCGUCUUGAAACACGGACCAAGGAGUCUAACAUGCCUGCGAGUGUUUGGGUGGAAAACCCGAGCGCGUAAUGAAAGUGAAAGUUGAGAUCCCUGUCGUGGGGAGCAUCGACGCCCGGAGCAGACCUUCUGUGACGCAUCCGCGGUAGAGCAUGUAUGUUGGGACCCGAAAGAUGGUGAACUAUGCCUGAAUAGGGUGAAGCCAGAGGAAACUCUGGUGGAGGCUCGUAGCGAUUCUGACGUGCAAAUCGAUCGUC